UAAAACCAGCACCUCAAGUGGUCAGGAUGUUUAUUGGGCCUAAAGCAUCCGUAGCCGGCUUUGUAAGUUUUCGGUUAAAUCUAUAUGCUCAACAUAUAGGCUGCCGGGAAUACUGCAAAGCUAGGGAGUGGGAGAGGUAGACGGUACUCCGUAGGAAGGGGUAAAAUCCUUUGAUCUAUGGAUGACCACCUGUGGCGAAGGCGGUCUACCAGAACACGUCUGACGGUGAGGGAUGAAAGCUGGGGGAGCAAACCGGAUUAGAUACCCGGGUAGUCCCAGCUGUAAACUAUGCAAACUCAGUGAUGCAUUGGCUUGUGGCCAGUGCAGUGCCGCAGGGAAGCCGUUAAGUUUGCCGCCUGGGAAGUACGUACGCAAGUAUG
rnacentral:rRNA from 2 species